rnacentral:rRNA from 1 species
CCUACGGGCGGCUGCAGUGAGGAAUAUUGGUCAAUGGGCGGAAGCCUGAACCAGCCAAGUCGCGUGCGGGAUUAAGGCCCUGCGGGUCGUAAACCUCUUUUGCCCGGGAGCAGAGGUCCGGACGUGUCCGGGCCGGGAGAGUACCCGCAGAAAAAGCAUCGGCUAACUCCGUGCCAGCAGCCGCGGUAAUACGGAGGAUGCGAGCGUUAUCCGGAUUUAUUGGGUUUAAAGGGUGCGUAGGCGGGCAUUUAAGCCGGCGGUCAAAUGUCGGGGCUCAACCCCGGCCUGCCGUCGGAACUGGGUGCCUUGAGUGGGCGUGAAGUAGGCGGAAUGCGUGGUGUAGCGGUGAAAUGCAUAGAUAUCACGCAGAACCCCGAUUGCGAAGGCAGCAUACCGGGGCCCUACUGACGCUGAGGCACGAAAGUGCGGGUAUCGAACAGGAUUAGAUACCCGGGUAGUC